rnacentral:rRNA from 1 species
AGAGUUUGAUCAUGGCUCAGGACGAACGCUGGCGGCGUGCCUAACACAUGCAAGUCGAACGGAGAUACGAUUUCGGUUGUAUCUUAGUGGCGAACGGGUGAGUAACGCGUGAGCAACCUGACUCUUAGAGGGGGAUAACACUCGGAAACGGGUGCUAAUACCGCAUAAGACCACGACAUGGCAUCAUGACGAGGUCAAAGGAGCAAUCCGCUGAGAGAGGGGCUCGCGUCCCAUUAGAUAGAUGGCGGGGUAACGGCCCACCAUGUCCGCGAUGGGUAGCCGAGCUGAGAGGCUGAUCGGCCACACUGGAACUGAGACACGGUCCAGACUCCUACGGGAGGCAGCAGUGGGGAAUAUUGGGCAAUGGGCGCAAGCCUGACCCAGCAACGCCGCGUGAGGGAAGAAGGCUUUCGGGUUGUAAACCUCUGUCCUUGGUGACGAAAAAAAUGACGGUAGCCAAGGAGGAAGCCCCGGCUAACUACGUGCCAGCAGCCGCGGUAAUACGUAGGGGGCGAGCGUUGUCCGGAAUUACUGGGCGUAAAGGGUGCGUAGGUGGCCUUUUAAGUUGGAUGUGAAAUACCCGGGCUUAACCUGGGGGGUGCAUCUAAUACUGGAAGGCUAGAGUGCAGGAGAGGAAAGCGGAAUUCCUAGUGUAGCGGUGAAAUGCGUAGAUAUUAGGAGGAACACCAGUGGCGAAGGCGGCUUUCUGGACUGUAACUGACACUGAGGCACGAAAGCGUGGGGAGCAAACAGGAUUAGAUACCCUGGUAGUCCACGCGGUAAACGAUGAAUACUAGGUGUAGGGGGUAUCAACUCCCCCUGUGCCGGAGCUAACGCAAUAAGUAUUCCGCCUGGGGAGUACGGCCGCAAGGUUGAAACUCAAAUGAAUUGACGG